rnacentral:rRNA from 1 species
UCGGCUCGACUCUCCCACCCUUAUGUGAACGUACCUCUGUUGCUUUGGCGGCUCCGGCCGCCAAAGGACCUCCAAACUCCAGUCAGUAAACGCAGACGUCUGAUAAACAAGUUAAUAAACUAAAACUUUCAACAACGGAUCUCUUGGUUCUGGCAUCGAUGAAGAACGCAGCGAAAUGCGAUAAGUAAUGUGAAUUGCAGAAUUCAGUGAAUCAUCGAAUCUUUGAACGCACAUUGCGCCCCUUGGUAUUCCGGGGGGCAUGCCUGUUCGAGCGUCAUUACAACCCUCAAGCUCUGCUUGGAAUUGGGCACCGUCCUCACUGCGGACGCGCCUCAAAGACCUCGGCGGUGGCUGUUCAGCCCUCAAGCGUAGUAGAAUACACCUCGCUUUGGAGUGGUUGGCGUCGCCCGCCGGACGAACCUUCUGAACUUUUCUCAAGGUUGACCUCGGAUCAGGUAGGGAUACCCGCUGAACUUAAGCAUAUCAAUAAGCGGAGGAA